CAGACUUAUCCUCAGCUCAAGCGAGUUUGGGGCGUUAUAGAGCCAGCCAAGUAUCCCCUUGCUGGCGUGGGUACUUGUGCAGAAACUUCCCGAGGUGCUUCUGAGACUGCACAGUGAAGACCGCCGCACUGGAGGUCAGCGCUCCGCCGCGGACUCCCGGCUGACUCUGCCACUCUCCCAGGAGGAGGCGCUGUGCACCUCUGGGUGGUUUCCAGGGCUCGGCUGGCGGUAGAGGGAGCCUUGAGGUUGGAAAAGAUCUAGAGCUAUAAUCUCCGAAAGGAAGAUUUGUAAUGCACUGCGAGUUAGAAAUGUUUUUCUCAUUGCAGCUUCCUUGUUUCAAAAAGAGAAUUUUUGACAGCACUGCAAAGGCACAAGAAACCAGGCACAGUAUAAAAUAUACAAAUAAAACAGGUACCAAGGAACUUAAAACAUUCAACCCAUAACGUCGUCUAGGUUUUUCUGCUUUAAGAAAAUUGACUCAAUUCUUCCAAGAGAAUAACCCUAUUAAAGGUCAGAUUCCUGGAAAUAUCUGGAGGGUAAGAACCAGUGAAUGAAAAGAGAUGGUUAAUGCUUUGCAGUGAAGGAAAAGUGACUCGCAUCAGUAGAUUACUAUGAAGCUGCAAGAGGUCCUAUUCACUGGAAGGAAUUUUUCCCUAUUGCUGAUGGUGAUCAGCAAUCUCCGAUUGAGAUUAAAACCAAAGAAGUGAAAUAUGACUCUUCCCUCCGACCACUUAGUAUCAAGUAUGACCCAAGCUCAGCUAAAAUCAUCAGCAACAGUGGCCAUUCCUUCAAUGUUGACUUUGAUGACACAGAGAACAAAUCAGUUCUGCGUGGUGGUCCUCUCACUGGAAGCUACAGGUUACGGCAGUUUCACCUUCACUGGGGGUCCGCUGAUGACCACGGCUCCGAGCACAUAGUAGAUGGAGUGAGCUAUGCUGCAGAGCUCCAUGUUGUUCACUGGAAUUCAGACAAAUACCCCAGCUUUGUUGAGGCAGCUCAUGAACCAGAUGGACUGGCUGUCUUGGGAGUGUUUUUACAGGCGUGCCCCUUUGUCACACCCCAUACUCUCCAUGUGUUGUAACUCAUGAACAGAGAAUGCUUCAUGGAUGGCAACAAUUCCUUGCCUUUGGACACCAAGUAGGGGUGGUUGCGGCAGGAUCCGGGUGCUCUAAAACCUUCAGAUUGGUGAACCUAAUUCCCAACUGCAAAAGAUUACUGACACUUUGGAUUCCAUUAAAGAAAAGGGUAAACAAACUCGAUUCACAAAUUUUGACCCAUUGUCUCUGCUUCCACCAUCCUGGGACUACUGGACAUAUCCUGGUUCUCUUACAGUUCCACCUCUUCUUGAGAGUGUCACAUGGAUUGUUUUAAAGCAACCUAUAAACAUCAGCUCUCAACAG
rnacentral:sRNA from 1 species